GAUGAACGCUGGCGGUGUGCCUAAUACAUGCCAGUCGAGCGAACAGACGAGGAGCUUGCUCCUCUGACGUUAGCGGCGGACGGGUGAGUAACACGUGGAUAACCUACCUAUAAGACUGGGAUAACUUCGGGAAACCGGAGCUAAUACCGGAUAAUAUAUUGAACCGCAUGGUUCAAUAGUGAAAGACGGUUUUGCUGUCACUUAUAGAUGGAUCCGCGCCGCAUUAGCUAGUUGGUAAGGUAACGGCUUACCAAGGCAACGAUGCGUAGCCGACCUGAGAGGGUGAUCGGCCACACUGGAACUGAGACACGGUCCAGACUCCUACGGGAGGCAGCAGUAGGGAAUCUUCCGCAAUGGGCGAAAGCCUGACGGAGCAACGCCGCGUGAGUGAUGAAGGUCUUCGGAUCGUAAAACUCUGUUAUUAGGGAAGAACAAAUGUGUAAGUAACUAUGCACGUCUUGACGGUACCUAAUCAGAAAGCCACGGCUAACUACGUG
rnacentral:rRNA from 1 species